GCUGGCCUGGAUCUGUCAGUACCACAGUCACAGCUGCUGGGCUGUGUCUGUGACAUUGGGGCAAAAAGCAAGUGUCCAUUCCUACACUCAGUGUUCAGAGCCAGUAAGCACUAAGAAUGGGUUAUAGCCUGACAUUU
ensembl:snoRNA Gm23377 predicted gene, 23377